GACGAACGCNGGCGGCGUGCCUAAUACAUGCAAGUAGAACGCUGAAGGAGGAGCUUGCUUCUCUGGAUGAGUUGCGAACGGGUGAGUAACGCGUAGGUAACCUGCCUGGUAGCGGGGGAUAACUAUUGGAAACGAUAGCUAAUACCGCAUAAUAGCAGUUAUUGCAUGAUAACUGUUUGAAAGGUGCAAUUGCACCACUACCAGAUGGACCUGCGCUGUAUUAGCUAGUUGGUGGGGUAACGGCUCACCAAGGCGACGAUACAUAGCCGACCUGAGAGGGUGAUCGGCCACACUGGGACUGAGACACGGCCCAGACUCCUACGGGAGGCAGCAGUAGGGAAUCUUCGGCAAUGGACGGAAGUCUGACCGAGCAACGCCGCGUGAGUGAAGAAGGUUUUCGGAUCGUAAAGCUCUGUUGUAAGAGAAGAACGAGUGUGAGAGNGGAAAGUUCACACUGNGACGG
rnacentral:rRNA from 1 species